CCACUUACAUGGACGAGGUCAAUGGGCGAUUAGAAAGGUCCAUGGCCUAGGUUGGUGACCUCCAUUGCACUUUGGAGGGGUGCCAACCUAAGUCAGCUCAAGUAAUCGAACCUACAUUAUAAUUUACGUGAUUUCUCAC
rfam:Capsicum annuum cultivar Zunla-1 chromosome 3, whole genome shotgun sequence